GCGUUUGUGGUUUAGUGGUAAAAUUCAUCGUUGCCAUCCACCGAAAGUUGGAGCAACUUCGAUGAGCCCCGGGUUCGAUUCCCGGCAGACGCA